rnacentral:rRNA from 1 species
UACGGAGGAUGCGAGCGUUAUCCGGAUUUAUUGGGUUUAAAGGGUGCGUAGGCGGACGCUUAAGUCAGCGGUACAAUUGCGGGGCUCAACCUCGUCGAGCCGUUGAAACUGGGUGCCUUGAGUGGGCGAGAAGUACGCGGAAUGCGUGGUGUAGCGGUGAAAUGCAUAGAUAUCACGCAGAACUCCGAUUGCGAAGGCAGCGUACCGGCGCCCAACUGACGCUGAAGCACGAAGGCGUGGGUAUCGAACAGG